GCCUGGGUGGCUCAGUCGGUUGAGCAUCUGACUUUGGCUCAGGUCAUGAUCUCGGCUUGUGAGUUCGAGCCCCACUUCAGGCU
rnacentral:tRNA from 1 species